GGCACAGUUCCAGCAGUAGUUCAGACGAGAGUGCUCCUGCCACCCCUGCUCCAGCCACUCCAAGCAGUGAGAAGAAAAAGAAGAAGAAAAAGAAAGAGAGUGCAGAAGAACCAGAUGUGGAGAAAUCUGAAAAGAAAAAGAAGAAGAAAAAGAAACACAAAAAGGAAAGUGCUGACAGUGAUUGACAGUAACAGAUUGGUGAAUGAAACGUAAUUCUUUUGAAAGAAAGAAUUCUUAAAAAAAGAGAAAAUGAAAGGAUGACAGAUAUGGAAAGCAGCAGAGAAAAAAGCAUGAGAAUGACUUAAGAAUAAAGCAAGCUGGACUUUGGGGGGACCAGUGACAGAUGUAUAAGUAGAAAAUGAAUAAAGAGGGUUCUUCAGGAAGAUUCCCACGUGAACAGUUAUGGUUUUCAAGGAGAGUAGGAAAAGAUUUUUCUGAAUAUUGGCAGGUUUCCAACUUUUUUGGAGCCAAAACUAUCAUUUUUGAUAUCGAUGCAGAUCUGCGAUAAAAAAGGGGGAUGGGGGUUAGUUCUGGUCCCGACGCCUUAUUUUAAGAUUUGUUUAGAAGAGGCCAUGACCUCUUUAUUACUGUACUUGAUAAGUGAUGGCUCAAUGAUGCGUCUCAGUAGAGCAGAAAGUGCGGGGUAUUGAUAGUAUAUGUAGAUGCUUAUGACCCAUCUAUAGAUACAGUUUCAUUGAAUGUCAUGAAUAUACAAAGAACUGAGCCGAAAUUGCAAGCUGAACAGUUGGUAGGAGAGCUAAUUAUAACUACAUUAGCAAAUCUUGCUUUUUUUAACCAUUGAAAGUAAUGUUUGGUAAUUUUUAUUACAUUUCAUUUAUUUAUUUUAUUGUUAUUGAGUAUUUUAAGGAAUUGGUUGAGCCUGGAGAUUAUAUGAAAGAAAAUUGAUUUAUUUUUAUAGAAAAAAAAAGUGCAGUUUGUGACACAACUACUGGCCCCAGUGUCCGAUGUUCUGUUAUAGAGAACAUGUCGAGCCAUAUGUGGCUUUAAUUGCUAUCUGCUCUAAUAAGGAUAAGAUUGUGCAAUUUAAAACUGUUUGUAUGACCACCACUUCACUAAACAUUAAGCGUUUUGCUCCUCUGCUUUGCUACUGAGACCUAAAGUGACAGUUUAUUUUUGUUGAAAUUUAACUGGAAAAUUUUUUCAUUAGUCGAUAUGCAACUCGGUCCUAUCAGUGACACUUAAGGCGAGACUAAAAAAUAAAUGAUGAUGAGAUGGAGGAGCAAUUUUAUGUAAAUAAAAGAGAAUACUUAUAA